UUAGCUACGACACACCUCACAUUGCUUCUCCACGCUGGACUAGUGGACCUGCAAUGGAUCAACUCAAACAAAAUUACCCAAGGUAAAAAAGAUGAUGUCAGGAAUCACCGGGACCUAGAUCGACAGCCUCUAAUGGAGUGGAUGCCUACUUUCUGCAGAGAGAUUUAAGGGAACCUGUGACGAUGGUUGUUGUUUAGGCUUCGGUUUUUUCAGUACACCUUUGGAUGCAUUCUCGAUUCAUCUUAUAGGUCAAGAGCUUCCUUUAGUUCAAGGAUUAAACAAAGAAAAGAUUGGCGCACUGCAGUUUUGCAUUUUAGUGCAAGCACGCUAGACUCCCAUGAAAUAUCUUGUCAAAAAAUGGUUGAUCGUAAGUGCAAGUACACUACACACGCCGAGCUGCAAUGGGACACGGUGACAUCACUUCUUUUGGGUUGUUUUCUCUAUGAAUCUGCAUUUUCGUUA